rnacentral:rRNA from 1 species
UACAGAGGUCUCAAGCGUUGUUCGGAUUCAUUGGGCGUAAAGGGCGCGUAGGCGGCUUGACAAGUCAAAGGUGAAAUCCCUCGGCUCAACUGAGGAACUGCCUUUGAAACUGUCAGGCUUGAGGCCGGGAGGGGGUAGCGGAAUUCCCAAUGUAGCGGUGAAAUGCGUAGAUAUUGGGAGGAACACCAGUGGCGAAGGCGGCUACCUGGACCGGUUCUGACGCUGAUGCGCGAAAGCGUGGGUAGCAAACAGG